rnacentral:rRNA from 1 species
CGCCAGACUCCUACGGGAGGCAGCAGUAGGGAAUAUUGCUCAAUGGGGGAAACCCUGAAGCAGCAACGCCGCGUGGGGGAUGAAGGUUUUCGGAUUGUAAACUCCUUUUGUUAGAGAAGAUAAUGACGGUACCUGAAGAAGAAGCCCCGGCUAACUACGUGCCAGCAGCCGCGGUAAUACGUAGGGGGCAAGCGUUAUCCGGAUUUACUGGGUGUAAAGGGGGCGCAGACGGCGAUGCAAGCCAGGAGUGAAAGCCCGGGGCCCAACCCCGGGACUGCUCUUGGAACUGCGUGGCUGGGGUGCAGGAGGGGCAGGCGGAAUUCCUGGUGUAGCGGUGAAAUGCGUAGUUAUCAGGAGGAACACCGGUGGCGGAGGCGGCCUGCUGGACUGCAACUGACGUUGAGGCCCGAAAGCGUGGGGAGCAAACAGGAUUAGAUACCCCGGUAGAA